CGCGGUCAUGGCAGAUCCAGCCGAGCCGGCCUGCUGACGCACCGGAAGCAGGACCUUGACCUCUGACCCCUGGCCCUGCGACUCAGCUGGCCAUAAUGUAGGCAGCUGCGGGUCCCCAAGGAGCACGCAGCCCCGCAGGUGCGGGCCCGCCGGGAGCCGCGUGCGGAAAGCCCGUCUCCCUCCCCGGCGUGUCCGGUGCGCGUUCGGGAUCUCGCUGUAGAUCGCGGGUCUGCACCGCCCCCGCGGCUGGGUUUCAGGGCUUCCCCGCGCUCCGCGGCCGCGGGCCGUACCGGGCCGGCAGAGGGAGAUCCGUGCUGGGAAGACCCAAGAGUCAGCGGUGGAAGCCAGAAAGUCUAUGCCAGCAGGGUGAAGGAGCUGUGCUAGUGGGAUGAGGGUUCUACGCUGGAGCCGAGAAGUCACACUCACAACAAAGAGCAGGGCUAGCCUGAAAGGCACCACGGCUGUCCUCAGCAACACAGAGGCCCCGAGCUCCUCCGAUGACAAGCACAGUCGUGUACGUGUCAGGAAGCAGCGUGACAAGUUCAUCCUGGAGACCAAGCAGCAUGUCUUUCCCUCUGGAGCCAGGAAGCAAUGCUCGAUGUGAGGACCAAAGCUUCUCCAGGAGAACCAACAGCUCAGACAGCAACUCAUAGGAGAACCCACAAUGCCCCCUUAACGCCUCAACCCCCUCAACAUCUUCUCCACCUUCUUCUCCACCUAUUUAUCCUGGCAACCCUCCUCAGGUGGAGCAUCUUCUCUCAAUGCAUGCUGAUGUAAUCCAGCUGGUGUUAAGUUGACUACCAGUUCUCAAACCAUAACAGAGCCAACAGUCUGCAGAAAAAACAUUCCAUGCUGUUUUGGCCCAUGCAUUUCAACACCAAAUAGCAUGCAUUUCUGAUGACUGAAGAGGUGCUUAAGGUUAAACACUAUACUCUACCCUUUGCUUUUUCUUUAAAACAAUAAAUGCUUAAGGAAUUACUA